GUGCUUGGAGCCUUAGAGGGGAGAGAGGAGCUGGAGUCUAUUGAGGAGUGGUGCUGGAGGUAGCAGACGAGCACCAUGCCCUCAUCCAACAACCUCAGGGAAGGAGAUAAGGUGUUGCUGGAGAGUGGAGAGGAGGGAUUGCAGCACUCUCUAUUCCACCCAGGUCUUGCAAAAGCACCUUGGGAGGUAGUACUACCAUGCUGUUCAAGACAUUGUCAGGU